rnacentral:rRNA from 1 species
UAGGUCGACCGCUGAACUUAAGCAUAUCAAUAAGCGGAGGAAAAGAAACUAACAAGGAUUCUCUUAGUACCGGCGAGGGAACAGAGAAGAGCCCAAAUUCGAUGCCUGUGCCAUAUGGUACUAGGCGAUGAGAAUUUUGGUGGUUCGGCAAUACGCUUUCGUCAUGUUCUAAGUCCGCGUGAUUGCGGCUCUAAUACCAGAGAAGGUGUAAGUCCUGUAAGAGCAUGAUGAUUAACGUCGCUGAAUCACUUAGAGUCGGAUUGUUUGGGAUCGCAAUCCAAAGUGGGUGGUACACUCCAUCUAAGGCUAAAUAUAACACGAAUCCGAUAGCGAACAAGUACCAUGAGGGAAAGUUGAAAAGAACUUUGAAGAGAGAGUUCAAUAGUGCGUGAAACUGCGUAGAAGUAACCGGAUGGAGCCCAAUGUCGGUGCGUAUAGUGUUGGUCUCGACGCUGCAGCCGUAUUUUGAUAACCGCAAGGUGUCAUGGUAUUGUGUGGUCAGUGUUGAAAUUGAUUUUAUGCGUACUUACAUCAUGAACAGCGCAGAACUAGUCUGUCGUACAUUGGAAGGUAGCUAGCGCUUCGGUGUUAGUGUUAUAGCCAGGUGCAUGGACAUUGUUUCGUACUGGGUAAAUUCUGUUAGCCAUUACCGGCGCACACGUUGGUUGUGUGUUGUUGACAUUGGAUUGAGGCUCUAAGAGAAUCUGUUCUUUGUUGAUGGCGCAUGGUCAGCCUCUGUGUUAUAACGGAUGUCAUGAUGCUAAUGUAGGUAGUCCAUCCGACCCGUCUUGAAACACGGACCAAGGAGUUUAGCAUGUGCGCGAGUCAUGGGGCUCUACGAAACCCAAAGGCGCAGUGAAAGUAUAGACUCACUUUCGUGAGUUGAGGGAGGAUGCUGUUAGAUAUCCGUUAUAGGAGUCUGCGGUCGCACUCCCGACUCGUACCGAUGCUUGCAUUGGUGCGAAGUAAGAGCGUGCAUGCUGAGACCCGAAAGAUGGUGAUCUAUACUUGUGUAGGUUGAAGCCAGGGGAAACCCUGGUGGAGGACCGCAGCGGUUCUGACGUGCAAAUCGAUCGUCAAACAUGAGUAUAGGGGCGAAAGACUAAUCGAACCAUCUAGUAGCUGGUUCCCUCCGAAGUUUCCCUCAGGAUAGCUGUCGCUCAGGAAUCAAUCGGUUUUAUCCGGUAAAGCGAAUGACUAGAAGUAACGGGGUCUAAAUGACCUCGACUUAUUCUCAAACUUUAAAUGGGUGAGAAGCUGAACUCUCUUAAUUGGAGUCUGGCAUCGAACGAGAGUGACUAGUGGGCCAUUUUUGGUAAGCAGAACUGGCGAUGUGGGAUGAACCAAACGCGCGGUUAAGGUGCCAAAGUAAAUGCUCAUCAGAAACCACAAAAGGUGUUAGUUGAUUUUGACAGCAGGACGGUGGCCAUGGAAGUCGGAAUCCGCUAAGGAGUGUGUAACAACUCACCUGCCGAAUCAACUAGCCCUGAAAAUGGAUGGCGCUCGAGCAUUUCACCUAUACCGUGCCAGCACGGCAAGUAAAGCAGGCCAUGUUGUGUAGGAGGGCGAUCUGGUAAGCAUUGAAGUCGCAGUCGUGAGACUGGAUUGAGCUGCCAGUUGUGCAGAUCUUGGUGGUAGUAGCAAAUAUUCAAGUGAGAACCUUGAAGACUGAAGUGAGAAGGGUUC